rnacentral:rRNA from 1 species
UACGGAGGGGGCUAGCGUUGUUCGGAAUUACUGGGCGUAAAGCGCGCGUAGGCGGCUUUGUAAGUUAGAGGUGAAAGCCCAGGGCUCGACCCUGGAAUUGCCUUUAAGACUGCAUCGCUUGAACAUCGGAGAGGUAAGUGGAAUUCCGAGUGUAGAGGUGAAAUUCGUAGAUAUUCGGAAGAACACCAGUGGCGAAGGCGACUUACUGGACGAUUGUUGACGCUGAGGUGCGAAAGCGUGGGGAGCAAACAGG